UGUGCUGUGGGCACAUGCAAAUGAUUAUGAUCUGGGCAGAGUUGAGCACUGGUGCAUAAUUAGCUCCUCUCUGUGAAAUCACAGGGUCUCUAAGUGUCCUCAUUCCUACUACAGCAAAGAGAACAUUCUUUCCUCUGACUGGAAAAUGGGGUCUUUCUAUAUUUUGUGAGUUAAUGGAUAUACCAUUCAGCAGUUGAGCAGCAACUUACUACACUACAAUGGGUGCCACCUGAAAAGUAAGCAGGAAUGACAUUGAUCUUACUAACCAACAAGAGUAUUGAUCUGGAAGCCACAGAAGCAACACACUGAUAAACCCUCCUCUAUGAAACAGAAGAAAACAUGUGUUGACUUUGUAGCAGCUGUCAUGAUUCCAACACUAGGUCUCAUGCUGCUUUAGGAGGACCUUAACUUCUGAUUCUCCUGAGCUACGUUUGUUGCUAUAAACUGAAGUGAGAAUCCAGGACAAACUUUUCCAGUCUUAGCUUCAGAGGGUGUGUCAACAAAAUGUUCUUGGACAAAUCUCACAAAAAAAAAAAAACAAAGGCACAGAGACACUUGGGGAUGCAAAGUGAAUCAAGAGCCCAGAAACCUCCUUAAUUCAAAGUGUUACCAGGACUGUCAUCACUAAGGUGGGUAAACUUGACUUGAUAGUGUAUUAUUGCCCUCUGCUGGAUAGAUGGGAAAUAGUCCAAGUCAGAGCCUAGAGAAAUCAGUGCAAACCCCAGUGUGCUUGGGAAAGAAGGGUGUGUGGGGAGGAACUCAUGAAAAAUCAAAGCCUGGGAAAUUCCUCAGAAUGACUGAUGGAAGGAACAUGAAUAAUUGUGCAAAUGCAGUCAGUAAUGCACAGACACACACACACACACACACACACACACACACACACACACACAUACAUCCCCACUUCUUGCUAUCAAGUAAUAUGCAAAUGUUGAUAAGAUGACAUUAAUCAUAGAUGUCAAAAUUUGCAAAGCAUGUGCACAAAUACGUUCUCUCCUUAUUCAGAUAUUAUUUACUUUAAUGAGUAAAGUAAAAUCAUGUUGAUCAGUAAUAUAAAAGGUCCAGCCUGGUGGUGGUGGGGCACACCUUUAAUCCCAGCAUUCAGAGGCAGAGGCAGGCAGACCACUUUGAGUUAG
rnacentral:lncRNA from 1 species